rnacentral:rRNA from 1 species
AUUGAACGCUGGCGGCAGGCCUAACACAUGCAAGUCGAACGCGUGGCGGGCGGGUGAGUAAUGUCUGGGAAACUGCCUGAUGGAGGGGGCUAACUACUGGAAACGGUAGCUAAUCCCGCAUACCAUCAGAUUUUCCCAGAUGGGAUUGGCUUGUUGGUGGGGUAACGGCUCACAAAGGCGACGAUCCCUAGCUGGUCUGAGAGGAUGACCAGCCACACUGGGACUGAGACACGGUCCAGACUCCUACGGGAGGCAGCAGUGGGGAAUAUUGCGCAAUGGGCGCAAGCCUGACGGAGCCAUGCCGCGUGUAGGAAGAAGGCUUUCGGGUUGUAAAGCACUGUCAGAGGGGAGGCGUUACCUGAAGAAGAAGCAACGGCUAACUCCGUGCCAGCAGCCGCGGUAAUUC